rnacentral:rRNA from 1 species
UACAGAGGUCUCAAGCGUUGUUCGGAUUCAUUGGGCGUAAAGGGUGCGUAGGUGGCGCCGUAAGUCGGGUGUGAAAUUUCGGAGCUUAACUCCGAAACUGCAUUCGAUACUGCGGUGCUUGAGGACUGGAGAGGAGAUUGGAAUUCACGGUGUAGCAGUGAAAUGCGUAGAUAUCAUGAGGAAUACCAGAGGCGAAGGCGGCUUACUGGUCCGGUUCUGACGCUGAGGCGCGAAAGCGUGGGGAGCAAACAGG